rnacentral:rRNA from 1 species
UACGGAGGGGGCUAGCGUUGUUCGGAAUUACUGGGCGUAAAGCGCGCGUAGGCGGAUCUGCAAGUCGGGGGUGAAAUCCCGAGGCUCAACCUCGGAACUGCCUUCGAUACUGCGGGUCUCGAGUCCGGGAGAGGUGAGUGGAAUUCCUAGUGUAGAGGUGAAAUUCGUAGAUAUUAGGAGGAACACCGGUGGCGAAAGCGGCGCGCUGGAUCCCUUCUGACGCUGAGGCGCGAAAGCCAGGGGAGCGAACGGG